ACUCCCCAACUUUUGCUUCUGCCUCAGGUUCCUUUCCCAGCAAAGACUUGUUUCUCCCAGCCCGAAGAAGCAGAGGUGUGUGGGGAUUUAUUGAUUUGGAAGUAAAUGAGGAAGAAGAACUUUUCUCUGAUAUUUAGACAAUGCAUGGAGACUGCUACAAUCUCAGAAGUACCCUGUGAACCACAGCAUUGAGAAUCAGUACCUAAUAUAUCGGGAUGGUUGUAUCCUGGACACAGAAGUAAUUGGUAUAACCAUCGAAAAGCAGCCUGUGAUUUGCAGGCAGUAGUGCUUGCGUCCAGCAGCCUCAGUCCUCUGGUAAAAGCGAGACCCCACCGAGAAGAUAGCAGUGCCCCACAGGCUCCCGCCAAGCUAGUGGAAGAGAAAGGGCUCAUCUCGGUCCAACUUUCCAGCAAGGCUUACUAAAGAGACAUUGACAGAGAGCUAAUGCAGAAGAAUCACCAAGAAAAAAGCUUCAUGGACACAAAGUGGCUGAAGAAUAAAGACCAAGCCACAGAAGUUAUUACUCAUGAUAUAAACCGUGCACCAAUUAGAGAAAAGGGUUUUCCAGGUUUGCACUUUAGCUGUUUGGCUUCCAAAGUGAGAUGACUGUGCCAGAUAUGGGGAUGUCAUUGAAGCAAACAUCAGCAUCAGAAACAUAAAAAUAACAUAAAGUUUGUCAUAUGCUUUGCGCUCAAAAAACUUAAUGCAUUUCUCAGACAUUAAGCAAUUAAAAUGCACAACAAGCUGUUGACGGAGGUAUUAUUAGCUCCAUUUUACAGAUGGAGGCAAAAUGUCAGGAACUGAGUCAUGUCACAGAACAGACAUCAGCAAGGCAUCCGCUCGCAGCGGCAGCACAGACAGACGUAUUUCACGACGAGCGCCAGAGAUUUGGGGAGUUUUGUGCGACCCACCGAGGCCCCGCGCAGCUGCACACGACGGCGCGAGCACACCUGACGGUGCAGGCGAGGACGCCGGCUCACCUCGGCCGCGGGCAGAGCGCAGGGGCGGCCGGAGAGGUGCCGCCGGCUCUGCACACCCAGGAGGGAGCUCUGCGCGGCCCGCGGCGAAGGCAGCGCGGAUCCGUCUUCCUUCCCCGGUCGAGAAAUCCUGCUCUUCAGCAUUGAAAUUUGGAUCAGGUCCUGAGGUAGGAUGAAGCCUAAGCUUCACACUCCCACUCCUCUGUGCAGAAAAGAAUAUGUGUGACUGGUGGGAAAAGGAUGACAGGAGCGUGCAGGGGUGUGAUAACAUUUGUACUCCAGUAAGGUCGGCCACUUAGAGCUGGGCUUGAAGGCACCGGUCCGCAGGGAUCUCCUACACAACGGACUAAAUGUAUUUUGAGGCUUUUUGGCCUUCCUCUGACAAAUCAGGUAUUGGCCAUUCCCUGAGGCAGGACAUUCAUCACAUUUGGCAAAUUCUGUGUUCCUCUGAUUUCUCCCUCUGGUCGGGUUUGCAAUUAAGAACCUACAAACCAUUUUCAAACUGCAGCCAAGAAAAAUUCAAGAAAAUGUCGAAGCCUGAAAGCGACAGGAGAUCGGUUUUGCUGAGGAAGGGAUUCUGUGCCCAAAUGCGGUGACGGACUGGAGCCAGGGUAGCUAGCAGAGCUGGUCUAAUGAUAGUUCCCAGCGUAUAUAUAUUAUUUUGCAGAUAUUUCCCUUUCAUCUAACAUGCGCAGCAAAGAGGGAGCUGGAUUUUAGUACUUAAAUAAAGGAGAAUACUUUCUGUGGAAUAAAUAGUUAACAAACCCCCAUAAUGUCAUCCACUGCAGAAGCUGGUCCUUAAAAAACUUUCUCAGUCUUUCACUGGAGCGGUGGUGUUACCGGCACUGGCCAAAGUAGCUCAAGAGAGUUCAUCCAGCAGCAGAUCUCUGCCCAAGGUCCUCCGCUGGCCUGGCCAGGAGGCUGCCGAGUCGCUUGAAGGGAGGGCAGCACCCUGCCCAUGCUAGGCAGGAGGUGAAGGGUGUGCAGGGUGCUCGUGGACUCGCCCUCGCUGGCAGGGGCAGACGGGGCAAAACCAGCCUCUCUGAGUCGCCGGUGGUGACCCCUUCUGCGGCUUGCUUCGUCAUUCACGUGAAAGCGCGUCUAACAAUAGCUCUGCCUGGGCUUUCUGCCUGGAAAGUUGGAGCGGCCGCCUGACAGCCACACACAUUUCUCCUCGUGUGCCAAGACGUGUCUGACAAGAGAGGGGACAGAUGAACUUCCGCCGUCUGCUCUCCAGCACCUGCCUACCAGCCCCGUAUCACUCACCCGCAAACCCAAGAAGGUGGCAGAAGAGGCAAGUGGCUGUGCGGCAAAAGAGAUCAGACAGUGCCCGCAGCUCGCGGACGUGCAGCCUCUCCCCUCCUCACCAGUAUUUUCCCCCAUUACAGCAGGUAACGCCCGGCUGCAGUGCCAAGAGGUGCUUGUGCACCAGAAACUCACCUUCACUGCGGCAUCACGCUUGUCACACCAACCCACAGGGCUUAGGGGGACCUGCCAGGAGGCACAAAGUAAUUUUACCUACUGAGUCUGUAAUUUCUGUGGGAAAAAUGCUGGUAUUUGAGAUAAUUCUUUGGCUGAUUAAGUUCACCUUAUAAAGUGUCAGAUCCCCUCUGCGCAUCUUAAGUGUCGGGUUUCAUUACUUCUUAAUCUGCAUGUGUCCUACUUUUAUUAAUAUGUGAUGGUUGAUCGGCCCAUGGAAGAUCAAUGUUCCAGCUGUACCACACCUCAGUGAAAUAUUUCUUUAAAGAAAUGUUAAGGAUCUGAAGUACCCCACUGAAACGACACACUUAAGCAAUGAAACACUCUCCUGUGCCUGCUGCUGCUAAUGACAUUCCUUUCAGGAAAUAUGAGCACAGCAAGGCACUCUCUUUCUGUCCUCCCUCCUUCCCUAAACUGUGUCUCUUCAUAGAUCAAAUGUUCUGCAUAAUCACAGGGCAAUGUUUUACCUGAGGUGAGCACAAAAACGCCAUCAAAUGGUCCGUACCUGCCCUUGGAAGCUGCCAGGAGGUCAAUACUCUUGAAAAAUAGGCAGUCAGAAAUGUAUUCAGGUAUCUGAAUAUUGAUUUAAUAAAUGAAAUCUUUGGCAGUGAUGUUCCUGUUAGACAACUCUUCUCUAUCAUUGUUUUAGUUCUUAACUUUGCUUCCACCCGUCACUAAACAACUACUUUUUGAAUUCAGGUUACAUCUUCUAUUUUCCCUGUACACUAUACUUGCUGUUGGAAUUUACUGUUACUAAUAUUGUAUAGCCAGUUUCCUUAAUCAAAUGGUCAUUUAUUUAUUCCCUGCUCAGGAUGAGAUUAAUUAUAACAAAGCAGAGACCGCAGCUGAGUUCCAAGAGUCUUUGAUACUUCCAGGGAGAGGAAAGAAGCCGUUCAUAAGAUUAUAAAUAUCUAGGUAGGGAGUAUUAGGAAAUUUUUAGGGUAUAUUACAUAUCUUUUCAGAUACCUGAGGCAGACCUUUGACGUGACACAUCACUGCUAGAUCAGCUGCCUCCUUAUUGCUGAGCAACUGUCUAAGGCUUUGCCGGAACCCAUCACACACGUUGUAGCCAAGUCUCUGCCCAACUCAUGUAUAAUGACCUCUGCUGCAGAACUUGGUUGGGCAAGAUGGCUUGUUAGACCAGGAUCAGCAAUACAGUAAUCAUAGAGCUUUAUUCAUCUCUUUCCCUGCAGCACAGUUCUUCAGGGUAGUGACAUACAACCACACAGCAGCUUGAUGAUGCACUGAGUCUUGGACAUCCACAGCCUUGACGUACUUACAGGGCUCCAAAUAUCUCCAUGUCCUGUGGUGGCUAAUGGGUCAUCAUUUCUGAAUUCAUCUUCAUAAAAAUAUUUUUUCAUAACAUUUCAAAAAAUAAAACAAAACAGACCAAGCAGUUCUCAAUGCCUUCCUGGUAAUAAGUGUUCCCCAAAAUAGUUCUGGUUUUGUGUUAAUAAAACAUUCAAAAUAAACUGGGUUUAAAUGUACUGGGAAACCUAAUCAGCUGCAGAAGUAUAUGGGUCUAAACUACAAGUCUUCCAGCAUCAUUCCAUCACAGCAUGGCUGAUCUACUGACAUGACUGCUGCAAUAAUGAGUACAAAAACUGUGAUUAUAUUCCUGCUCUUGCAACAUUUUAGGGAAACUGCUUUCAGAAUUCUAUUAUGGUAUCUUCUGUUAAGUUACAAAACUCACUGAUAAACACGGAAGUGUGUUUCUGUGAUGUAUCACAAAUAUUUGAGUGAAUAAGUAUUAAAAAGCUAUGUGAAAAGAGGCAGUCUUUAUUUUUCAACUUUUUUAUAUACUUGCUAAUUCGUAGGCUAAUCUAGAAAUCUUUGCUGAGGUUUUAUGAGGGUUCUUCUUAGAUAAAAAAACUGCUUCAAGGCAGAGACAGUUUAGAUAUCAAGAUGUGGUGCAAUAAUUGCUCAUUUGCUACAAGUCUUCCAUCCAUAAAUAUGAAUUAGCAGGUUCUCAGGUUUUCAGAUUGAACACAAAUGGAUAUGCUUUGCAUCUGCAUAGAGCCACAGAUCUUAACACACCUAAAC